CCCGGUGAUUCACUUGCAAGGAAACACGCGUACCCAUUCCGAACACGAACGUUAAGCUUGCAGGGCCAAUGAUAGUGUCAAAAGCGCGAAAGUAGGUACUGCCGGGA
rnacentral:rRNA from 1 species